GUUAGCCUACGGGGCGCAGCAGUGAGGAAUAUUGGUCAAUGGGCGCGAGCCUGAACCAGCCACGUCGCGUGAGGGAAGACGGUCCUAUGCAUUGUAAACCUCUUUUGUCGGGGAGCAAAAGACGCCACGCGUGGCGUUCCGAGAGUACCCGAAGAAAAAGCAUCGGCUAACUCCGUGCCAGCAGCCGCGGUAAUACGGAGGAUGCGAGCGUUAUCCGGAUUUAUUGGGUGUAAAGGGAGCGUAGA
rnacentral:rRNA from 1 species